CCUGCUCAGGUGCAGAGACACCGGCUGCUCCGUCGUCUUUAAAUAGGGAAGUAGGACUGCGCUUGGAGUCACGAGAGUGCAGCGUCUGAAGGUCGCGCCUCAACUCUCGAUGCUCUCCCUUGCUUGCGCGAUGCACGCGCCUCACCUCGCCGCGCCCCGAGCCGCCGGCCUGAGUCUGAGGAGCUUCUCGUCUGCCCCCGCCUUCUGCGUGUGUCUCUUCCGCAGAGUUCGGGGAAUGUCUCGAGAGAUAGGAGGAGUGCCCCAGAAUGAGGAUCGGCUUUAGCGAUGAGAGGAAUGUAGUCGAUGUGAGGGCGAGAGAAAUGCACUUCUCUGUGUGGGCUCGGAGAAACGGCAUAUGGCCGGAGAACGUGAGGCCGAGCUGAAGCACGAGUUCGACGACGUCGAAGGAAACCCAGACGGCAGCCAUCCAAGAGGGAACUGGAGAUGACAAGAAACCGCUCUUUGAUGCUUCGUUUUCGCCUCUGACGCCGUCGUGUGGCAAUAAAACGAGGCUGUCCUCUGGGUCGGAGGCCGACACAGCUGAAAGUCGGCGAGUCGUCCUCAGCCUUUUUAGAUGAAUGGGGAACGGAGCGUCUGCGCGAGUCUUUGGAGCCCCCGCUGUCGUCUCUGCUCCUUUCCUUCCUUUCUCUUUCUGGUCACUUCCCUUAUUCACUCUGCUAAUCAGUGAUCGCCUCUCUGUUCGAGGUGAUCGAUGAGAGGGUGGAUUCUUCGCCCUCGUACCAACUCCCCACAAGGUGCCUGGCAUGCGUUCUUUGCCGUCGGGGGGAAUCGCCUUCUUUCCAUUUGUGCUCGCGAUGCUCUCCUCUUCUGCCAGACGUCUCCCAGUGCUUUGGAGAGUCUCGCCGACGCUCCUUCUGUCGUACCGCUCCAGGUCGCUGUCCGUGUCUCCCCUCGGCUGGUUGCGGUCCCGGAGUCUGUCUUCCUUCCUUCCUUUCUCUGACUCUUCCCAUCGUCCGCCAGGCUUGUGCGCCCUUUCCAGGAAGCCGGCUUGCGCCUCUUUCUGGAAACGUCCUUCAUCGCCUUUGACCUCCUUAGUGGUCCUUUCUCCGCCGUCUCUGGGGGGCCCUGUGACGGCAGUGCUCAACCGCAUGGGCGCGAAUGAAAGCAACCUCUUCGUUCCUCCCUCCAGCGCGUGUCUGCCGGUGUCUCCUUCUUGUUGAGAGUGUUGUGUCUCUCCUGGAAAGAUGAACACAGAGUCGACAGGAGGCCAGUCUUGAGUGGACGCUUCGUCGCCGCUGACUGGCGGAUCGCCUCGACUCCAGCCCCCCGCUUCCUCCCGACUAAAGGACGAGAUAUACUCAGGGAUGUCAUACAUGAUGUUGAGAAGAAUGAGGACGAUGCCGAUGGCCACAAGUCUCAUGCGCCUCAUCUUGGCAAGGUAGAAUCCGUACGCGGACUCCACUGAGGGAUCUGAAAAUUCCAACGCUGGCUUCCGUUUCAGAUAGAGGGGGAACCCUGGGGGCUCCGAAUCCAGAGACAGUCUCUUUCUUUUCCCACCCCGAGACGGAGGGCCUUGCUCAGCCGGCCGUGUGGGGUCAAGGCCUGAGGGCGAAGAGAGGAGAACCGAGGGACGAGAAGGGUGCUUGGAGGGAGAAGACGAGGCUGUUUCGGAGGGCGAGGAGCGACGCGUGAGCUGAGAAGAAAGAGAAAACAGAGUACGGAAUACACCGGCUCGAGGCUCGCGGGACCACGAUGAAGACCAAGUGCGACGCGAGUGUCGCUGGAAGCCCCUCGCUGGUGCCGAGGCAUAGAAAGGAAGGAAAUGGAGAGACCGGGACACAAGUGCUCCGAGGGGGGUCUCGGGAGACGACGAUGGGCAACUUGGAGUCAGAGGAACGACUGGAGAGGAGAGCAAAUCUGAUUUGACCGGGGUGGAGGACUGGAGAGAGAGAAGAACCGGUGGCGACGCUGAGGAGAACGAAGUGUACUUUCGCUCUCCACGUAACCGAGUGCGUCCUCGCCGUCUCCGCACAGUGAGGGGUCUGAAAGGUCAACAGAGAGAAGAAAAAAAGCAAACAAGCCGCAGAUACCCAUACGUGGAGACGAUGAGUGGCGAUAUUGGAGGGAAGCUCAGAAACGAGUGCUCUUUGCAGGUUAGCGCGCACAUUCACAAUAUUCCGACUAAUGAAUAUAUCUUGAAAGAGACUGAGAGGCGCAAACAACACUCGUGACUGUCUGGUCCCGGAAACAUUUUGCGAGUUUUCCCUACGUCCUGUGUGUCUUCUCGCCUCUUUCUCCCGCGGCCUGUGAAGACAUCGCUGCAUCUGUUUCUGCUUCGUCUGCUCCCUCUCCCUCUUGCUUAGCUCCAGUUGCGAAAUUGUCUUUGCAGGCGAUGUCUGGGAGCUCCUCCCUCGUUCUGUGCCUCCUUUCUCUUUUCGGUGGGAAAUGGGGGAUUCUUUUGCAAACGAAAGCCUUCGUAAACUCACCUGAAAGACGCUAGAGCGGACCGUGUCGGUCUGCGCCUCGCUCCAAGGCGGAAAUGCAGUUCUCGUCGCGCCAACUGGACUCCUGGGCUCUUCAGCCCUGUCCUCGGUCUCCACCCGGUGCCUGUGGAGCCCAAGCGCCGGCCUUGUUUGGAGACACAGAUUCCUGGCUGCGUGUCAGGAGAUGCAGGCGUCAGAAUAGAUGAAGCCGAGGCGAUGCCGGCCUCCAUGUCGUCUUGUUCUUCUUGCGAUCCUCCAUGUCUCAGGCGUCUUCUACGGCGAGUAGAAAAACCGAGGCGUCGCGAGCCACAUGGUGAAAGGUGAAGCUGCCUUGCGACUUGUCUCUCCUCCUCAGUCCAUCCGUCUUCGGCACUUGAUGUUUGCUCGGUCUCCUGAUUCUCUCGGGACCGUGUUCUCCUGCCUUCUUGAAAGAGCCCUGCUGAUUGCAAGGUCUCUGCCCCUCCCAGGCCAGACACUUUGUCUUCUUUGAGGAGCUGAUUUUCCGGUGACUUUGUCCCCUCAGCGGCCUCCACGAGCUUCACUUCGGCGCUCCUCCUUGCUGUUUGCCUGUGGGUCUCCGCGACUCGAGCAUUGUCCAUGUUCUCGGAGAUCGUAUCUCUCUCUUUUCCUCUCCAGGGCUCUCCAAUAGCUCCCCAAUUAUCGUUGCCUUCUGCACUCACUCGGUGCCCUUCACUGAGAAUACCUCCAUGGGUCGAGGGAGCACGGCGAUCUGCGAUAGCCUCCCUUCGACCCUGUCGCUUGUCUUCUUCCGCUCCUCGAGCUCGCGGAAGGGUCCCGCGCAAGGAGACAGGUGUCUCCGAUUGUCCUGAAAGGCCGCGUUUCGGAUCUGCGUCGCCUUGUCUCGUCGUGGACCCCUCGUCUGCUGCCCGCCCCCGUGUUCUGUCUCUCUGUGACUUGCUUGCGUCUCGGUCGUUCUUCGCCUCUCUCACUCUCCUACUAGACUGCAGCGAAGCUUCUGUUGCACCUUUGAAGCCUGACACACCGUGACACAUACGUCUCUGCAGACAGCCAGUCCCUGGGGCUUCUCGGCGUCCUCCUACCGAGACUGGAGACAGAAGGUUCGGCAUGGCUGCGCCGUUCUGUCUCCGCGCAAGCGUCAGGGGCGAAGGCGAGAGACUCGCGGAGUUAUCCGCAAAGGCAGAAGGCGACACUGUGUGCCCCCACCGGGCUAGACGGAAGAAGGAGGGAGAUGUCCGUUCUUCUUUGUCUCUCGCCUUUGCGUCUCGCCAGACUGUCCCUUCGCUUCUGGUUUUCUCUGUCACCGAGUCGAGGCUGUCUCCGAACUGUGGGGCGCCUCCAGCAGACGGCGACAGGGUCAGCACUGUGUUGGCCUCUACGGGGGACAUGAGAGUAGAGCCUGUGCCUCUCAGGCAGCCCCUCUUCAGCGAGGUUGAGGGAUACGAAGCUGUCUCGGAGGCGUUCUCACCCCGAGAGAAGAGCGGCGAAGGCGGAUACAGCAGCGACCGAUUGAUGUCGACGAGGAAGCUGUCUUCCACCCACGUUUUCACGGCUCGGUACGCUGCGUCGAUUUUGCUGAGGAGCUGAGAAGACGGAGAAGCGUUCGGCUCCGCGGGAGUCUUCAUCUCCGCCUCGCCCCUCCUGUGGUGGCCUUCAAACUGCGGGCGAUCCCUGUGUCUCUGAUACGGGCCUUGUGAGGCGGAGACCCUCUGGCGCGGAGACAGGAGCAGAGAGCCAGUCUCCGGCGGAGACAGCGAGACAAGGGCGGGAUGGAGACCCAACGCGUCUUCUGGAGAAGAAGCAGACCCGCCCGGCGAAGAAGAGAAGAAGCUGUGGGAAGAAGAGUCCCCAGGGGACGACGAAGACGUACAGCUCUUGAUGACUUCUCUUCUCUCUCUGUGACGGAAACGUCGCCCAAACGCGGCCUCAACUGUGUCGCCUCCAGACGAGUGCCGUACCCCAUACUGCUCAGCCGGAGUAGGAAAAGGGCCUGCGACACCAGCAGCUGUCUCGUCUUCGUUUUCUCCCUUCUCCCACCCUCGUUUUGCCCCAAUGGUAGACGCCAGGGUUCCGCUUUCGCUCUCGGCGCCAACGAACAGUGGAAAAUACGGUAACUCUGGUGUGAACGGUCCCUCACGCAGGACGAGGUUUGUGACCUCUUUCAAGUUGUCGCUGUUCUCCGAGCUCGAGUGCAUGCGGAAAGGAAGGUCUUUGUCUCGGUCGUGCCCAACACGGCGGCCCUGUAAGCCUCGGAGGUGUGUCUCCUCAUGACCCUCUACUGUUUUUUCUCCCACUCCGUCUCGUUCACAGCAAGUCAGACGGGGCUCACGUACAGGCCGCUGCGUGGUAGAAACCGGAAAGGACGCAGCCUGCGACAGACGCGACGGGGAGGAAGAAGCAGUGACCUGCGAGGAAGAAAACGACAAGCGCAUGCUGCCACUACCAACACCAGACUGGGACGUCGACAGCGACACAGAGAGGUUCGAAGAUUCUUGGAAAAGUUGGGGAAGAGCAGAUGACUUUGCCUCUAGUGCGUGAAGGGGAGGAGAGGUUUCUCGCGACCCUAAGUCCCGACUGUUAGUCUGUUUCCUUCUUUGAGGUCGUUCCGAGUCUUCAGAGGUUUGGAUAGCUGAGGCGACCGCGGAGCUGUGGGCAGGAGAGGGAACUGUCUCUUUGCCCCGUACAUGUUGUGUCGCUUUCGGCUUUUCAUCGUCACAAAGGGUGCCCUCGAACCGCGUUUCCAUGCCUGGGGGCUCCACUGGCUGCUGGGCUUCGAUGAAAGCCCCUACAUCUUCCUUCUCGGAUCGAACUCGUGUGCUGCUCUCCGUUAGAUCAGGCAACUCCGCUCUAAAAGAAGAGGACCGCGAGAAGAGACCCAACGGCGUGUCUGCCUUCCUUGUGUCCCUGCCUACGUGGUCGAGACAUUCCAUUGCGCCCAACGAGGGGUUCAGAAACGGAAAUCGCAGCGCACGAUCAAGAAUCCAGAGAUGGUGGAAAAAUGUUUCCUCAAGGUGGGCGAAGGAUGGGAUAAGGUCGGAGGGUCGGAGGGAAUCAAGAAGAAAGGAGGAAUGGAAGACAACGAAGGCGAAACGCUGCGGAUCAGUCAAAGGACGUGUCGUGUGGGGAAAGGCGCAGCCAAUGAACGAUGGAACCUAACUUCGUGGACUGUCUGUGCAGCGAUCUUUGCCCCACUGCGUCUUUCUCUCGUUGCCAAGGAAGGACGGAGUCCACACUAGUGAAGCGUAGGUGCAUUGUGCCGACUCCUCUGUUUGGCUGCAUUUUCUCCACUUUUAGGGGUCUGUCCAAAGCCGUUCUGAGCACGCGGUGGGCGUAGGCCUGUGCCCCUGCACCUGCUGUGGUUGCUUCGCACCCAGAACGCUCCACAAGAACAGGGGAAAGACGAGAAAAAAAGAUAGCAAAGAAGGAAUUGGGAGAUAAACACGGGCCCGAACGCGAAAGAAAAGAGGAGUCGAGAAGGUCCGAACGAAAGCAAGCAAAACAAACCACAACUACGAAAUGGGAACUGAGGCAACGACACGAAGUUUGAGGUGAGGGUUCUCACGAUCCUCGAUGGCAUUCGUCAUUUUCUCCGGCAUUACUCAACAUUUACGAGAGAGGAAAAGACGACGAACAGCUUGUAAAAGCACGACAAAAAGUAACAGCGAUGGAGAACUGAACGAAAAAAGGAGAAGGGCCGUCUGUCCGCCCGACGGAAAACGUUAUGGGUGGUGCACAGAAGUAACCGUCAUGGCGCUGUUUUCAGAACGCAGCAAGCACAGGGAAACGCUCCUUGUCGCACACUUUUUUACCAUAUCCUCUUUGUUUUCACUUAGUUGUCCCUGUCCUUCGUCGAGGUCGGUUCGUGAAGAGAACGCGACGCGAGAGAUCGCUUUGUCCGACUUGCGGUUUUGCCCAUUUUCGUGAAUACGUCCAAGAGAUUAAAACGCGGAGAUCCGGGUUGUCUGGGGAAGCGAAAACAUGUAUUUCUUCCUUUUCAAGAAAACGCCAUUCAGGCGGAAGGGUGACGGGGACCACAAAGAAGGCAAGAGAAGCUACAGCGGCCUCGGCGUCGAUCCGUGUGCAUUUGAGAAUAUUCUGCGGCCACUUCCAAGCGAAUCAAGAGCCAAAUGGGCUGAUCUAACCGAAACAAAUGUUCGAUUCGUCGUUGGAGUUGCUUCCCUCCGCUGUCCUUUCCGCGUUCGUUUUUGGGGUCUUAACAGUGGCAAUCUUGCGCUUUAGACAAGCGCCAGGACACAGAUCUUUGUGUGGCGCCUUGUUAGUGGUGACGGCGGAAACCGGGUGCAUCGAGCGUACAAUCAAGCAUCCGGUGCAACAUCUCGCGAAAUACUUUAUCCCCUGCACACAAAGAUAUUUUACCCUCCAUAAUUGUCUAGCUCACUCAAUAGCACGAGGUCGACCUUCAGCGCGUGUAGGAAAGCGAGAGUCUCUCUGUCUCUGCCCUACUGUGUGCCCACCUAGACUCUUUCCGCCUCUGCUGCUGUUCUCGUUCCUCGUUUCUGAAAAAAGUUACAAGGAUGCAAGAAACCGGUCUCAACAGGGAACCACACGACGGCACUCCCCCUUUCCUUCGAGGAAACGCAGAAAAAAGAAAUCCCGGUCCAAAAACCUGCUCUCUGCUCUCUGUCUCGUGUGACUUUUUUCUCUCGGUCAGGACGGGCGCGGUGCCCCUCCGCGUCCCCGGUUUUCGCGUUUUCUCGCGGCGCUCGCCUUGCCGGGGAUUGCGUGCUGUUUCGACUCGCGGCAAAGGCGCUGUUCUCACUUAGUUUGUGUCGGCGGCCGUCCAUCUUUUCGCGGAAACAAAGUUCUUUUCGUGAGCAGGCAAUUUGGUCCUCCGUGGGCGGACAGUUUCGCGCGCUUGUGCGGCCGUGUAGAACACGAGACAGAAUAGCUCCCUGCAGGCUCUGGUGCAAAACAAAGAAGUCCAAGGUGUAUCCCCUCAGUCAUUUUUGAGGGGGAAAAAGAGAAAGUGAGACGCUCGGUUAUCGGGCACAAACUCGCAAAGAGGAAACCUAGGAGAAGCAGGAGAUAAACAAGCGGAAAGGGGCACGGGUGCGGAUUCAGCGAAACGAUUCAUGGAGAUUGGUGAGCAGCGAUUUAAGGCAGUAAGCUCAGCGAAGAAGGAGCCACCAAACGAUUCUGGACUAGGGUACUAUCGUCCGCAGUCAUCAAAAGGUGAUCUCAUCAUGGGAAAGGAUUCGUUAGGGACACGCGAAUGCGUCUAUGUGUUGACCGGGAAGAAUCGAUUCGAAAACUCUGUUGGAGUGAGGGAAAGGAAAAGUCUGGAACAACAGUGAUAAACAGAAACGACCAGGAAGUGCACCGUCCCCGUGGGCUUUGAAAUCGCGUUUUCUCUGUCGUUUGAAGCGGUUCUGACUUUCUUAAGAGUUUGGCUGUCUGGUCCUCUGUUGGUAACCGGUCACGAGUUAACCACAAACAACAAGCUCGAACGCAC
rnacentral:lncRNA from 1 species